UUUUAUGGAGAGUUUGAUCCUGGCUCAGGAUGAACGCUGGCGGCGUGCCUAAUACAUGCAAGUCGAGCGAACGGACGAGAAGCUUGCUUCUCUGAUGUUAGCGGCGGACGGGUGAGUAACACGUGGAUAACCUACCUAUAAGACUGGGAUAACUUCGGGAAACCGGAGCUAAUACCGGAUAAUAUUUUGAACCGCAUGGUUCAAAAGUGAAAGACGGUCUUGCUGUCACUUAUAGAUGGAUCCGCGCUGCAUUAGCUAGUUGGUAAGGUAACGGCUUACCAAGGCAACGAUGCAUAGCCGACCUGAGAGGGUGAUCGGCCACACUGGAACUGAGACACGGUCCAGACUCCUACGGGAGGCAGCAGUAGGG
rnacentral:rRNA from 1 species